GAUACAUGGAAUCACUGUUGCAAGUACCCCAGGCACAUCGGUUUUCGAUUUUUGAAGCAUAAACCCCAUAAAAACGAUGCGAGCCUCGGAUCUUCCAGUGUUUCUCAAUGGCGCUGAAACUAGGGAUGGGCGUAUCGAUACUCAAACAAAAAAUAUCGAUACUAAGGCACACCGUGGCUGCAAUGAUCGGAUGGGGGAGUAGAGUGGAGUAUCGGGAGUAUACCCCGGCCUACAGAGCCUCCAUCAGAUUCACCAGAUUUACUGAUUCUGCGAAAGAAGCAGGCUGCCAGAAUCACACCCAGAAUGACAACAGCGGCUAUCACAGACGAGCAACCAUGCCUGAGGAUUUGUUUAAUAUUUUAUUAGAAAUUAAACUUGCCAUGAAUUUAAUUUUUGCAAAGGAAAGAGGAUAAUAAAAAAGAUAAACUUACAUGGUUAUCUGUUGCGCUUUUCAUAAGGGGGGAAGAGGGAAGAUGGCGAUUAACAAGUAUGUAUGCAUAGUACACAAAUACAUGCAAUUUAACAAAUAGUCAAGUCACCUCAUCUACAGUGAUGUUAAGGAUUAUGAAAUUCAGUUCCUAAAGAUUUGGUCUAGUGACAAACAUUUUUUAGCCAGAAUUACUAUUAGGUGAUGUGUUUCUCUGCCAUGAUAAAAAUUAUGUGUAUCAGGCUUUACGAUUUUAUGAGCCCACCCCUAAGCAGUUUUAAAGAGAAGUUGAUUGAAAGUUAUUCAAUAAUAAUUUUCACUUAAGGUGCCUUCAGUGGGCAAACCUUAUUAUAUGAAAUAUAUUUCAAAGUUUCUUGGGGGAACACAAUAGUGACAAAUGUUUUUAGAAUGAAUGCAAAUGUUGUGCGAGCGGACGCAAUAACAUAACAAUUUAUACUAAAGAAACAUUUAAAGAGAAGUUACAAGGCAUACAUGUCAUAUAAUGUUUGAAAAACUGACAAAAUUGCAAGGUAAUUGUAAUACUUACUGUGUAUGCUGGCACACUGUGUGUCUGAAAACUGUGUGCAAUUGGAAACAGUUACCUCUCCAAUUUCUGUAGUUUGGGGGAGGAAAUAGUUUUAUUGUUGUUAGAGCAAUAUAGCCUAUUUCAAUCUUAGUUGUGUUAACAUUCAUGAAAUUUAUUGUUGCAUACCUUCACAUCUGCGGCAUGUAUUACAUAGCACACCAAUGUGGCCUCUGGGCCCUUCAGAGCAGUUGCGGGCAACAUACUCACCUGUAGAUUUGAAUUUUAUGAUUAUUUAUUGAUUCACAGUGGUAUCCUUAAUUUUCAGAUUAUCUCUGUGCAAUUUACCAUAUUGGCAGUUCAAGCAGCACAGCAUUUUUUGAACUUGGAAAUGGUUCUCUGGGCAUGCUGCUACACAAAGAGUACUCGACGCAGCCACAAAUAUUGCCUGAAGAUUUAAUGAGAAUACAUUUUUUUCAGUGUAAAUCUCAAAUUACAUAAUUCAGGGAUUGGGAACAGUACAAGAAAAGAAAAGAAAAAGAAAAAAAAAGAAGAAAAAAAUAAGACACUUUGGAAACCAAAAACAGGAACAAAAUCCUUUUAAAUCAUUCCAGUGUGAAAUGAUUGUAUUCACAUGCUUGUUACUGGUUAAUAAUUGCAUCAUGUCAUUUCAAUACUUUUUCUUUAAUCCAACAACUAAAGACAGUCUAAAACUUCAUAUUUUAUACUUUCUUCAUAAAUAUAUUUAUACUAAACUGACAAUUUAGUAUUUGUAAAUUGACAAAAUAGUUGAAAAUUACAUUUUAAAAAAAUGAGAAAGAAAAAAGUAAGAAACUUAAAAAAGUAACUCUUACCAAGACACAUUUGGUGUCUGGCUGGUUCAUUGUAGGUUGCAUUCUGUUUUCUGACAAUCCUUGAUCCUCGACUCUCUGCUUUAAAAUGGAGCACUGACGUGUUUAAGGAGUGGCCUCCAGGAGAUCCUGUAAAACAUGCUCAUGUCAUUUCUGAAAAUUUCAGGUGGUCUGAGAUCGACCGUGUUUAAAUAAAAGGUAGCUAUGUCUUGUGUGUGAUCUAUAU
ensembl:lncRNA